rnacentral:rRNA from 1 species
AUUGAACGCUGGCGGCAGGCUUAACACAUGCAAGUCGAGCGGGGGAAGGUAGCUUGCUACCGGACCUAGCGGCGGACGGGUGAGUAAUGCUUAGGAAUCUGCCUAUUAGUGGGGGACAACAUCUCGAAGGGGAUGCUAAUACCGCAUACGUCCUACGGGAGAAAGCAGGGGAUCUUCGGAUCUUGCGCUAAUAGAUGAGCCUAAGUCGGGUUAGCUAGUUGGUGGGGUAAAGGCCUACCAAGGCGACGAUCUGGAGCGGGUCUGAGAGGAGGGUCCGCCACGCUGGGACUGAGACACGGCCCCGACUCCUACGGGAGGCAGCAGUGGGGAAUAUUGGGCAAUGGGGGGAACCCUGAUCCAGCCAUGCCGGGUGUGUGAAGAAGGCCUUAUGGUUGUAAAGCACUUUAAGCGAGGAGGAGGCUACUUUAGUUAAUACCUAGAGAUAGUGGACGUUACUCGCAGAAUAAGCACCGGCUAACUCUGUGCCAGCCGCCGCCGUAACAC